rnacentral:rRNA from 1 species
AACGUUAAUCGGGGCAGGGUGAGUCGACCCCUAAGGCGAGGCCGAAAGGCGUAGUCGAUGGGAAACAGGUUAAUAUUCCUGUACUUGGUGUUACUGCGAAGGGGGGACGGAGAAGGCUAUGUUGGCCGGGCGACGGUUGUCCCGGUUUAAGCGUGUAGGCUGGUUUUCCAGGCAAAUCCGGAAAAUCAAGGCCGAGGCGUGAUGACGAGGCACUACGGUGCUGAAGCAACAAAUGCCCUGCUUCCAGGAAAAGCCUCUAAGCAUCAGGUAACAUCAAAUCGUACCCCAAACCGACACAGGUGGUCAGGUAGAGAAUACCAAGGCGCUUGAGAGAACUCGGGUGAAGGAACUAGGCAAAAUGGUGCCGUAACUUCGGGAGAAGGCACGCUGAUACGUAGGUGAAGCGACUUGCUCGUGGAGCUGAAAUCAGUCGAAGAUACCAGCUGGCUGCAACUGUUUAUUAAAAACACAGCACUGUGCAAACACGAAAGUGGACGUAUACGGUGUGACGCCUGCCCGGUGCCGGAAGGUUAAUUGAUGGGGUUAGCGCAAGCGAAGCUCUUGAUCGAAGCCCCGGUAAACGGCGGCCGUAACUAUAACGGUCCUAAGGUAGCGAAAUUCCUUGUCGGGUAAGUUCCGACCUGCACGAAUGGCGUAAUGAUGGCCAGGCUGUCUCCACCCGAGACUCAGUGAAAUUGAACUCGCUGUGAAGAUGCAGUGUACCCGCGGCAAGACGGAAAGACCCCGUGAACCUUUACUAUAGCUUGACACUGAACAUUGAGCCUUGAUGUGUAGGAUAGGUGGGAGGCUUUGAAGUGUGGACGCCAGUCUGCAUGGAGCCGACCUUGAAAUACCACCCUUUAAUGUUUGAUGUUCUAACGUGGACCCGUGAUCCGGGUUGCGGACAGUGUCUGGUGGGUAGUUUGACUGGGGCGGUCUCCUCCUAAAGAGUAACGGAGGAGCACGAAGGUUGGCUAAUCCUGGUCGGACAUCAGGAGGUUAGUGCAAUGGCAUAAGCCAGCUUGACUGCGAGCGUGACGGCGCGAGCAGGUGCGAAAGCAGGUCAUAGUGAUCCGGUGGUUCUGAAUGGAAGGGCCAUCGCUCAACGGAUAAAAGGUACUCCGGGGAUAACAGGCUGAUACCGCCCAAGAGUUCAUAUCGACGGCGGUGUUUGGCACCUCGAUGUCGGCUCAUCACAUCCUGGGGCUGAAGUAGGUCCCAAGGGUAUGGCUGUUCGCCAUUUAAAGUGGUACGCGAGCUGGGUUUAGAACGUCGUGAGACAGUUCGGUCCCUAUCUGCCGUGGGCGCUGGAGAACUGAGGGGGGCUGCUCCUAGUACGAGAGGACCGGAGUGGACGCAUCACUGGUGUUCGGGUUGUCAUGCCAAUGGCACUGCCCGGUAGCUAAAUGCGGAAGAGAUAAGUGCUGAAAGCAUCUAAGCACGAAACUUGCCCCGAGAUGAGUUCUCCCUGACCCUUUAAGGGUCCUGAAGGAACGUUGAAGACGACGACGUUGAUAGGCCGGGUGUGUAAGCGCAGCGAUGCGUUGAGCUAACCGGUACUAAUGAACCGUGAGGCUUAACCUUACAACGCCGAAG